rnacentral:rRNA from 1 species
AGCGAACGCUGGCGGCAGGCCUAACACAUGCAAGUCGAACGGACCUUUCGGGGUUAGUGGCGGACGGGUGAGUAAAGCAUCGGAACGUGCCCAGUAGUGGGGGAUAGCCCGGCGAAAGCCGGAUUAAUACCGCAUGAGACCUACGGGUGAAAGGGGGGGAUCGCAAGACCUCUCGCUAUUGGAGCGGCCGAUGUCAGAUUAGGUAGUUGGUGGGGUAAGGGCCUACCAAGCCGACGAUCUGUAGCUGGUCUGAGAGGACGACCAGCCACACUGGGACUGAGACACGGCCCAGACUCCUACGGGAGGCAGCAGUGGGGAAUUUUGGACAAUGGGCGAAAGCCUGAUCCAGCCAUGCCGCGUGCGGGAAGAAGGCCUUCGGGUUGUAAACCGCUUUUGUCAGGGAAGAAAUCCUUUGAGUUAAUACCUCGGGGGGAUGACGGUACCUGAAGAAUAAGCACCGGCUAACUACGUGCCAGCCGCCGCAGUAA